GACGAACGCUGGCGGCGUGCUUAACACAUGCAAGUCGAACGGUGACGGAGAGCUUGCUCUCCUGAUCAGUGGCGAACGGGUGAGUAACACGUGGGCAACCUGCCCCAGACUUCGGGAUAACGCUUCGAAAGAGGUGCUAAUACCGGAUACGAACUCCUUGGGCAUCCUUGGAGUUGGAAAGUUUUUCGGUCUGGGAUGGGCCCGCGGCCUAUCAGCUUGUUGGUGAGGUAACGGCUCACCAAGGCGACGACGGGUAGCCGGCCUGAGAGGGCGACCGGCCACACUGGGACUGGGCCACGGCCCAGACUCCUACGGGAGGCAGCAGUGGGGAAUAUUGCGCAAUGGGCGAAAGCCUGACGCAGCAACGCCGCGUGAGGGAUAACGGCCUUCGGGUUGUAAACCUCUUUCAGCAGGGAAGAAGCGAAAGUGACGGUACCUGCAGAAGAAGCACCGGCUAACUACGUGCCAGCCGCCGCAGUAAUAC
rnacentral:rRNA from 1 species